GCAGCAGCAAUGGCGGGCUGGCCGCAACUGCGUCAUUUGCCCCCCCACCGGCCUUCCUGCCCACCUCCCUCCUGCUACCCCCGCCGCGCCGGCCCACCAUCACGCACGCACCCCGAAUCCUGUCCCGUCCGGCGGGGCCGCACCCGCACUUCCCUUCACCACCGAAGCUGUAGCGGCAGUCGGCAGCUGCGCGUCGCCGGUUACGCCACCCGCGGGAGGGGCAAGAGGCCACCGACCCCGCGGUCCGAACUUCUCACCGCCCGCCCGCCGUCUCGGCCGUGAACGUGAACCUGCGCCGACUGGGUAGAUAACGGCAGGGCGAUGAUCCCGUGCGAUUGCUUCCUCCAAAAUCCUGCGCGGCCGCUGACUCCAUUACAGAACCUUACAGUUACAGCUUCGGCGAACGCCAGUCUCUGCACCAGCUAGAACCUCUGAAAUUUCCCUGGAAUUGGCUGUUCCAUGCACGGCUAGACAGACUACUAAAGGGAAUAGCAAAGGCAACCGGGUCCAUUACGGUGGGUCGCUUCUGACAAUGCCGGAGGCACUGGAGCAUGCCCACGAUGUUGGGGAAGCACUCUGGCUGUGGAAGGAUACACUGAGCAACCGGGUGAGUCCGAUCAUCCUCAAGGAGCAGAAAGAUUGGAGACAGGCAGUCGAGAUCUUUGACUGGUUUCACAUGAAGAGAGGCAAUGAACUCAAUGUGAUUCACUACAAUGUUGUGCUCUGUAGAGUCGGCUGGGCAAGGAAAUGGGACCUUGUUCUUAGGCUGUGGCAUGAGAUGCAUUCUUGCAGUGUGGUGCCAGAUAAUGAGAUAACUCAAGGUAUGGAAUACUGAUCGAUGUGUGUUGCAAAGGGGAAAGAGAACGGGCGACUUUAUUUGUGGCUCAGGGACAUGCGCAAGCGGGGUUUGAUGCCUCAUGAGGUCACUGUGAGUAUUGUGCUGCAGGUCCUCGGAUUCAAGUAGAAGGAUGGAGGGACGCCCUUGCUACAGUUUGUGCACUUAAAGCACCUAGAUUGAUAGUUGAUACUCAUGGAAAAGCUGGUCAACUUGAGAAAGUAUCAGAUACAUUCAACCCAAUGUUGAUAGAAGGUGUUGCGUGUUGUUACAUUCAACACAGUGAUUCAUGUUUGGGGUAAACACCAUAGAAUGGAGCAAGUUGCUUCUUUGGUGAGGAUGACGGAGGAAUCCCAGUGCUUUCCUGACACUAGGAUGUACAAUAUACUGAUACACUGUAUAGAGAAAGGAACGAAACUGAUGUUGCAGAGUACUACUUCUGGAAGAUGAAGCCAGAAAAUUUGAUACCAGAUGUUGUGAGCUGCCACAAACACUCUUAUAUGGAUACUCUAUCAGGGAUUCAGGGGCAUGGUCACUAAAGCGGAAGCCCUUCUAUAGGAAAUGGAUGAGAGGGGCUUUGUGAUAGAUGAAUACACACAAUCCGCUUUGACAAGGAUGUAUGUAAAUGCUGGGAUGCUUGAGCAAGCAUGGCAUUGGUUUGACAGCUUCCAUCAGCAGAUGAGUUCCAAAUGCUUUUCUACUAUUGAUGCAUUCGGGAAGAAAGGAUGCAUAGUUCUUACAGAGAAGGCUUUUUUAUAUGCUGCCUAAAGAAGAAGAUGCUCAGAGAAGGCUUUUUUUUUCUGUGAGAGAGCUGAUGGCAUGGGGUAUGGCAUUUUGCUUGAUUACGUGACAUACAGUUCUCUCAUUCAACUUCAGUCAACUGCUAAACUGCCAAAGAAGGCUCUACACUACUUGGACAAUUGUAAGAGUAGAAAAGGGAGUACACGAAAGCGACUUCAGAACUGAUUUUCAAAUGGUUGAAAUCUUAGAUGUAGAUACACAAUUGUGAUGAUCUGUCUACUGAACUGUUUACACAGAGACGGUGCAUACCGUUCUUGUGAAAAAAUGUUGAUACUUGAUUGGCUGAUGCACAGUGAAUUCAUGGAAAUCAUUUUCACAUGGGUGCGAAUCCUGCUAGAUUUGUGCAGGUGAGUGAUAUUACUUAUAUGUUCCCGGUUUCUACGUAUCAGAAUACAAUGUACAUGCUCUCACAACAUCUUGCUUUUGCUAAAAUUGAACUGCUUCAGAUUGCAUGACUUCCAGAAAAGAUUCAGUAUUGAUGAUAAUAUCGAACAUUGCAGUGUCUUUCUAAGUUCUGCCCGUUGUGAGAUAAUUGUUAUUUGGAUUAUAUUCGAUAAAUUUAUGUUCCGUUCUUGUUGGUGGCUCAUGUUGGGUUUCAGCUCUAGCCUACCGCAACUUGCUUGGCACUAGAAAGGUAAAAAUGAUUUGUUGUUAUUGCUCUCAAAUUCAAUAAAUGGUGAAGUCAGAAGUAAAUAAAGUAUGAACAUAAAAAAUGACCGAUGCAUGGCUAAAGUGCAUUUGCAUUCUAUCUUUCAGACUUGCACGUGUUUGUUUCAUAAUAUUAAAGGAGUUAGUGGUGCUAUACAUCUGAUCAGUGAGAGCUGGAGAGCUGUUCUCGUCUGCAAAUCGCCAAGUAAUGAUGAUUUUAGCAUGUCGUUCUAUUCUAAGCAGCAAGGCAUCAUAUGCUUGUAUUUUCUGGUUGGGCAAUGUGAAGGAGCCAUUAUCUGAUGCCUAGCUAUAGAGGAGUGCAAUCUGGAAACUUGGUGGACUUUGACUCUUGAUUUUUAUCUUUUUUUGUUGCUUGCAGCAUCAUACUAACUGCCUUAUUCAUUAAAUAUUUCUUGCUUUACACUGCUAUUUUCCUUUCCUGUGGGUCCAUCUAUUUGGCUCAGAGUUCUACAGCUGCAGUGGCGGAGCUUGGAUACAAAAGAAGAGGGGCCCAAUAUCACUGAAAUGGAAAGAGAGGGGGUCAGUUUUGGAGCAUAUUGGCCGGGCAUUCGGUUUCAGCAACAACCUGAUGGAUGGUGCAGUGGGAGUGGGCGCAAGGCUUUGGGGAAUGUAAAUAUGAAUAUGAAUACAAGCAAUUUUUUACUACCUGGGCACUGACAAAGUGCAAGUUGUUUGCACGACUGGCAUAAAGGGCUGGCGAUGAGUGGUUGGAACAGAAUUUCAGAGGAAAAGAAGAAGAUAUUAUUUCACCGGCUUUCUGACUUCACUCUCCAGCAACAGUAUCACAGGCUUUCCUUCACUCAACAGCAACAGUAUAGAGAAUGUAAUUUCAGUUUUUUUUCCUGAGAUUUAAACAGAGAAAACGGUCGGGUCAUCAUGUCAGUAUAUAUGGUUCAGAGCUGCAGAUCAUUUGGUUUCGGCUUUUAUACAGAGAGGCCUCGGAUUGUGAUGGGGUGUCAAUGGAGCAUGGACCUUACCGUGUUGCCGCCUCUUGUCCUUGUAAUCUUGUGGUGUGUAUAAAAAUCUGAGUCUACGUUCCUGUCCUUGUCAACAUAAAAGAUGCACCAUGCACGCAUAUCCAUUCGUUUGUGUCCGUUUUGAACAAGAAGAAGAAGAAAAACUCACUUGUGUCUUCUCCA